ensembl:lncRNA
GUGCGCCUGUCAGUCAACGCUGACAGACCGCGGCCCAUUGGUCAGACCCCGCCCGCGUCACCGCCCACUGCCACUGCCCAUUGGACGGUUUGAACACAAAGGCUCCGGCUCGCCCCGCCCGCCGCGUGGGCCAAACGGGCGGGGCAAGGCCAGACAAGAAUCGUGCGUGGGAGGCGCGAGAGAGUGGGUAACCCCUGGUCGCUGGAGGACUCGGAUGGAGCCGGCAAGCGGGGGCUCGACCUGGCCUGACUUCGCACUUGACUCCCGGUCUGGUUGCUCAAAACACUUGAGCCCUGUCCUGGUACUGCCUCAUGCGCCUCACCCCACCCGCGGCCUUCUGGGGCCCAGCUCUCGGCAAGAUGACUCGACAGGGCCGGGGUGCCAGGACCUUAAAGGUAUUGAAGAUGGCACGAGGAAGUGGGGAGCAGGGGAGAUUGACAACCCCUGGCCUAAGACCCACCUGGAGGGGUAGCGUGUAGUUAGCCCUUAGAGGACCUCCCCCAAACGAUUGUUGGAAUCUCUUGCGUAACUGUUUUCUUAGGCAUUUCUACACUUUUUUUUUUUUUUUUUUUACAUAUCAGGAAACAGGUUCAUAGAGUUUUUAAGUGAUUUGCUUAGUCACACAGCUUGAACGAGGCAAAACUGAGAUUAGAAGCUUCUCUCCAUAUCCAAGCCCCCCCCUUUUUUUUUCCAUUUUGGGAUUGAUUUGGGGAUUCCAGACUUGGCAGGAAGCUCUGCCACUUCUCAGUCUGCCCUCAGAGGCCCCCACAUUUCAUGGCAGAAGCUUUUCUUCAUUUGAAGGAGGAUGCUCGCCCCAGUUGGUGCUGAGAAGGCAAGGCUGGUUGCCUGUUCCUCUGCUUUACUCAAAUCUGAGUGUGGGAAGAGUACUUGAUAGAUAUGGAAUGAAUACCAUGCUGUCUGACUUCAAGGGUCCUGUGCUUCCCACUGGCCAACUCUACAGAUGCAGAAAGUGCCCAGCUUGGGAGGAGUCACUUCCUGGCAGGCUCUUCUAAGGGAAGAUGAAACUGUGGUUACUUCACUUUUAAAGUGCCAAGAGGAAGAGACUAGAAAUAAUGAAAUCAGGACAGGAAGACGCUGGGGGUAGGGGAUUGAGGAAAUGUGAAGCCCUUGUGCUAAGUCGACUCCAUACAUAGAUGACCCCCUGAUCCCUGGGUCUCCACUGCCCCACCCGGAAAGGAGGGGCCUCACCUGCAGUUACAAUCUAUUGAAGACAACGGUGCUUGCCUCUGGGGUUAGGCUUCGAGCCCCUGAAGACAAGGGCUGGCUCGUGUCUGAGUAUCUGCUGAACGUGGGAUGAGUGAAGUGAGAAUUGAAAUCAGACCGAGAGUCCGCCUCCAGGUGGGGGAGGGCCUUCUCUUGACGCCUUCUCCGCCCCAAGGAGCUUAAUGCCUCAGUUCCAUCCUAGCCAAUCCCAGUGGAGCCUCCAUAUCCCGCCCCCUCCGUUGCAGAGCCUGCUUCGCUCCUUUCCAAGGAUCCCGGCAGAAGGACCCCCUUCCCAGGAUGUGCUGGUUUGUAAAGCAAGAGGCCAUGUGCCUUCCACUGGUCUCAGGCAAGGGCCGUGGCCACAGGCUGGCUAGAGGCAGCCCUCUACUAAACUGUGUUGCCUCUGUGGGCCUGUAGUAGGUAAAUAAUGGGCCCCAAAGAUAUUAGGUCCUAAUUCUUGGAACGUGUGAAUGUUAACCGUACAUGGAAAGUCUUUGCAGAUGCGAUUAAAGGAAGGAUUUUGAGAUGGGGAGAUUAUCCUGGAUUAUCAGAGUGGGCUCUAAAUGUAAUCACCAGUGUCCUUUUAAGAGAGAGGCAGAGGAGAAGAGGAGGGGGCAAUGUGGCCACAGAAACAGAAAUUGGAGUGUGCCCACGAGACAAGGAAUGCUGGCAGCCACUGGAAGCUGGGAGAAGCCAGGGACGGAGUGUCCUCCUAGAGUCUCCAGAGGGAGCAAGGCCCUGCCAACACCUUGACUUUCGUCCAGUGAUUUUGGUUUUGGACUUCUGGUCUUCUCAACUAUGAGAGAAUAAAUCUCUGUUGUUUUAAGUCAC